rnacentral:lncRNA from 1 species
CGAGCACUCCCCGGCGUCCGCGGACCGCGCGCUGCCCAGCGCGGAGGGGGCAUGCGCAUUCGCUUGCGCCCCCGGUUGCCAUGCAUGGAGCACAAGCACAAAAGCGUGCUCGCUCCUACGACUGCGCCCGUCUAUUUUGAUGCUUGCGGCUCUCCGAAUUUAGCCAUCCAGCUAGCCUCGUCGAGCGAUGGAGCUCUCCCUCCCUCCUCCCAUCCUCCGCCAGUCGCCGCAUAGCCGGGCGGCGGGUGAUGAGCCACCGGCCACUCAACUUUUCUCUCCAGUUCGGGGGUGCAAGCCAAGAAGGUGGACACAUGCCUGGGAGCGGCCGGUGUCAAGAGCCAUUGCUUCCUUCCUCUCCGAACAAGUGUGGUUCUUGUUCUUUAUUUUCUCCCCCGAUCGAUGAAGCAUUGAUGCCGUGUCGUCUUUUCAAACUCUCGUGUUCGUGCAAAUUUUUCGACUAUCUUCGUGUGUGCAUUGUGCAUGGAUCAGAGGAUAUCAAGAGGAAAUCCCACGGGAGGACAGGUUGAUAACCCAACAAUGUUGACGCCAGCCGGCUUUGUCUUUGUAUCGAAAUGCCACCCCCUCCAAUGCCUGUCGCUUCCGGUUCCAGGUACUUUCCAUACCAAAUCCUCUCGUUUUAUAGGAGUUGUUUUAAAAUGUAAUUUUGUUGAAACUCUGUAUGGCUCGUCAAUGCUAUCUCUCAUAGCUGCACUUUAGGGGAUCGUGUCACAUGGAACCCUACGUAGUUUGUUCAGAGGUUGGAACUUGGAAGUAUCAACGCCGCUGCAGCCAGUAGUCUGGACAAGCCGGGCACACACAUCGGUGGCAUACAGCCGUUUCUCCUAGAAAGGAAUAGU